CAGGACGAACGCUGGCGGCGUGCCUAAUACAUGCAAGUCGAACGCUUUUUCUUUCACCGGAGCUUGCUCCACCGAAAGAAAAAGAGUGGCGAACGGGUGAGUAACACGUGGGUAACCUGCCCAUCAGAAGGGGAUAACACUUGGAAACAGGUGCUAAUACCGUAUAACACUAUUUUCCGCAUGGAAGAAAGUUGAAAGGCGCUUUUGCGUCACUGAUGGAUGGACCCGCGGUGCAUUAGCUAGUUGGUGAGGUAACGGCUCACCAAGGCCACGAUGCAUAGCCGACCUGAGAGGGUGAUCGGCCACACUGGGACUGAGACACGGCCCAGACUCCUACGGGAGGCAGCAGUAGGGAAUCUUCGGCAAUGGACGAAAGUCUGACCGAGCAACGCCGCGUGAGUGAAGAAGGUUUUCGGAUCGUAAAACUCUGUUGUUAGAGAAGAACAAGGAUGAGAGUAGAACGUUCAUCCCUUGACGGUAUCUAACCAGAAAGCCACGGCUAACUACGUGCCAC
rnacentral:rRNA from 1 species